AGAGUUUGAUCCUGGCUCAGAUUGAACGCUGGCGGCAGGCCUAACACAUGCAAGUCGAACGGUAGCACAGAGAGCUUGCUCUCGGGUGACGAGUGGCGGACGGGUGAGUAAUGUCUGGGAAACUGCCUGAUGGAGGGGGAUAACUACUGGAAACGGUAGCUAAUACCGCAUAAUGUCGCAAGACCAAAGAGGGGGACCUUCGGGCCUCUUGCCAUCAGAUGUGCCCAGAUGGGAUUAGCUAGUAGGUGGGGUAAUGGCUCACCUAGGCGACGAUCCCUAGCUGGUCUGAGAGGAUGACCAGCCACACUGGAACUGAGACACGGUCCAGACUCCUACGGGAGGCAGCAGUGGGGAAUAUUGCACAAUGGGCGCAAGCCUGAUGCAGCCAUGCCGCGUGUAUGAAGAAGGCCUUCGGGUUGUAAAGUACUUUCAGCGAGGAGGAAGGCAUUAAGGUUAAUAACCUUGGUGAUUGACGUUACUCGCAGAAGAAGCACCGGCUAACUCCGUGCCAGCAGCCGCGGUA
rnacentral:rRNA from 1 species